GAGAAACCUGGUCAGACAUUGAGGCGAUCGGAUGUUGAUGUUGCUGGUUCUUGGUAAAACGACUUAGCUAGUGUCCUUUGCUAAAACUGGAUUUUACAAGGACGUGCACAAACAGGCCUAGCAGGAGAUUCAGAAGCCUGACUAAAAUUUGGCCAAGGAAAAAAAUCCUUGUCACCAGGAAAGUGAGGACUAUUGUCACCAAAUUCAGCUCACACUCCAAUUCCAAUCGACCUGACCAUCAGAAGAGACAAAAAGGGAAAAUCCUGGCCAGUUCUCCCCUACCUGAUCAACCAGUAGCAUAAUCAGAUUUGCAAGACCUCAAGAAAAGAAACCUGAAAAUGCCACUGGAGGUGUGUGUUUUGCCAAAGAAAAAAGAAUCAAAAACAAAACCUGCAGGAUGAGGACAAACAAACAAAGAGCAGGGGCUCAGCCAUGAACCUUGUGAUGGAUGAGGAAAAGAUAUUCUUUUUCUCCCCUUACAGUUUCUGGCAGCCAACAUGGGGUGGCUGUGACACCCCACUAGUUCCAGAACCUGCAGAUGAGAUCCUGGGACAACCAAUAAAAAAA
rnacentral:lncRNA from 1 species